rnacentral:rRNA from 1 species
CCCUUAGAUGUUCGGGGCCGCACGCGCGCUACACUGAAGGAAUCAGCACGUCUUUCUCCUUGUCCGAAAGGACUGGGUAACCCGCUGAACCUCCUUCGUGCUAGGGAUUGGGGCUUGUAAUUCUUCCCCAUGGACGAGGAAUUCCCAGUAAGCGCGAGUCAUAAGCUCGCGUUGAUUACGUCCCUGCCCUUUGUACACACCGCCCGUCGCUACUACCGAUUGGAUGGUUUAGUGAGAUCCUCGGAUUGGUCCCGGAGCGGCCUCUGGUCGUGCCGGAGUGCCGAAAAGAAUGUCGAACUUGAUCAUCUAGAGGAAGUAAAAGUCGUAACA